CAGGCGUCUAAGGCAGGCUCCCACUACAAUGCCUUACUGAUGAGUCCAGUAGUGGGGGCCGGGACGAAACGCAGC
rnacentral:hammerhead_ribozyme from 15 species